rnacentral:rRNA from 1 species
UACAGAGGGUGCGAGCGUUGUCCGGAAUCACUGGGCGUAAAGGGCGCGUAGGCGGCUUGAUAAGCGUGCGGUGAAAGCCCGGGGCUCACCCCGGGUCGGCCGUGCGAACUGUCGAGCUGGAGCACUGUAGAGGCAGGUGGAAUUCCGGGUGUAGCGGUGGAAUGCGAGAGAUCCGGAAGAACACCGGUGGCGAAGGCGGCCUGCUGGGCAGUGGCUGCGCUGGAGGCGCGA